rnacentral:tRNA from 2 species
UCUAAUAUGGCAGAUUAGUGCAAUGGAUUUAAAUCCCAUAUAUAAAGUUUAAACUUUUUUUAGAA